GAAAAAAAAGGUAAAGCACCGCAUAGGCGAAUACCCGAUGGCACUGGUUCACUGCUGGUAGUUGUAGCAACUGGCAAUUUAAAAAGAUGAGUUUUUUUUCCCAAUUAAUCGUUUUGAAUUGUCCUGUGAGUUGUGAUAAACCCCCAAACACAAAGAAUCGUAAGUUUUAGCAUUUGAGUCGUAGUAAAAGCAAAGGCAGACGGAAUGAAAAUUCAAGCACAAAAUUGGGUGUCAUGAAGACAGACAGACAGAGAAGAACUAGAGAAGAAAUCAGAGAGAUAGAACAGAACAAAUUGAAAUGGAGAAGAAAAGGGGAGUAGGAAGAGAUGGUCCCUCUGCUCUAACCCUACCAACACAUCUCCUCACUCGAAUCUUCUCACAACUUGACUGUGUUGAUCUUCUUCAUUGCGCCCAGGUCUGCAAAAACAAAACAACGAUGUUAUAGGUGGAGUUAUACUAUGGAGGACACAACGAGGGUUUGAUUGAUUGGACAUGGAAGUACUGCUCAAAGAUAGCAAUGUGGGUCUGGUUCUGCCGUGUGUAGAUGGCAAUAUGUGCAUCUAAGCUGUAAUAGAUGGCAGUAAUGUCCGUCUAAAAUGAAUGGAUGGUCAUCUAGAAUUUGAAUUUGGAAUAAAGAAGUUGAAUUGCAAGAGAAGUAAACAGAAGCUAUAAAGAAGGUUUUUAGUUUGAGUGUUGUGAAGGAAGACUAUUAGCUGAAUUGGUCAAAAGUUGAGAAUAAGUUUAGUGGAGAAUUUGCUUUUAAAAUGUGUAACUUUGCUAAAACUAGACCAGCAUAAACACAUGACAUCUUUCCUUGAAUUUUUUCUCUCAUGUUUUCUUGAGAGAUAGAGUUGGAUCUUUUGUUUGUUACAGGUUUUGUUUGUGCGAGAGGCUUGUUACAUUCCUGAUUUAUUUCCUGCACUAUGUAACUGUUUCAUGUCGUGGCUGUUUGAUGCAAGUGUGUAAAAGGUGCAGAGCAUCUAACAUUGCUUAUGUAAAUACGGGUUUCUUUCA